GGAACUCAAAACAAGCUGCAAGGGAAUAUCAUGUUGUAGACGUCUCCAAUACGAGGUGUGUAGCUGCUCUUCAAACUUACAAAAACUGCAUCAAAGACAUAUAUCGGAGUCAUAUCCUGGAACCAAGUGUACUUAUGCAUCUCCACAAUGAACGAAGCAGAAAUGCCUCACAGGUCUCUACAAGAAAAUUCUACAAGUUUCAUCCUUUCACCUCCAAGAAUCCCUGAACUAUGGUGUCGGAACUUUAAUUAUGCGCUUUCCUACAUGUGGGCAAAUGAUGCUCAAGUCCAAGAUGCUUUACACAUUAGAAAGAAAAUUGUUAAAAUCAAGGAAUAUGGAUAAAGAGCUCAAAUCAGCAGAGGAAGCUAGAGGGUGCAAAUUAAAAAUAUAACACCAGGAUUUUCCUUUAUGAUGGCAACAGGGAUUUGU